UACAGAGGUCCCAAGCGUUGUUCGGAUUCACUGGGCGUAAAGGGUGCGUAGGUGGUUGCGCAAGUCUGAUGUGAAAUCUCCGGGCUCAACCCGGAAAUGGCAUUGGAAACUGCGUGGCUAGAGGGUUGGAGGGGGGACUGGAAUACUUGGUGUAGCAGUGAAAUGCGUAGAUAUCAAGUGGAACACCAGUGGCGAAGGCGAGUCCCUGGACAACACCUGACACUGAGGCACGAAAGCGAGGGGAGCAAACAGG
rnacentral:rRNA from 1 species